rnacentral:lncRNA from 1 species
AUGGAAGUGGGGACGUUGAUCCGGGUCCCCGACGCGCCAAAGGCUGCCCUCGAUCAAGCUGGCUUAUACCAAAUACCAGUGAGUGUCGAGGGGGGUACAUAUCAGCCUUUGGUGGAUUCAGGAUGUAACCAAUCCUCCAUCCAUCAAAGCCUGAUUCAUCCGAGGGCAUUGGAUAGUAGCCGCAUGGUUAGGGUUCGGUGUGUACACGGGGAAGUGGUGAAUUAUCCUAUUUUGCCUGUGGAUAUUAAAUUUAGGGGAGAAAAACAUAGAAUAGAGGUGGCAGUUAAUCCGCACCUCAGGCAUCCGAUAAUUUUGGGUACGAAUUGGCCCGCGUUUAAUAAAUUAUUGGGGUAUUUGUGUUCGGAUGUCUCUUGGGGAAAAAAAGAGAGGGCUAGAGUAGUGGUUGCGCAGGUGGGAGAGGCUGAACCGGAACCUCCGGAGCCUGUUGCAGGGGAACCGAGUGCUCUCGAGCGGAACAUCCUCCCUGAGCGCGAUGAUUUUCCCCUGGAACAGUCCCGCGAUGAAACGCUGAAAAAUGCUUUUGACCAGGUUCGUUCAAUCGACGGGCAGCUUCUCCACCCUGACCAACCGCUCUCUUAUCCUUAUUUUUCAAUUUUAAAAGAUAGGCUGUAUCGGGUGAUCCAAGACGCCCAGACAAAGCAAGAUACAACCCAGUUAUUGAUACCUAGAAGCCUUCGGGAAAUGCUUUUCCAGGCGGCUCAUUGUAAUCCAAUGGCCGGGCAUUUAGGGCAAGCGGCUACACUAAACCGUCUCAUGGCCCGCUUCUUCUGGCUGGGCAUUCACGAGAAUGUGCGCAGGUGGUUCGCGGCUUGUCGUGAAUGUCAGUUGGUGAAUCCACCGGUCCCCUUCGAACGAAUUGGCAUGGACUUCAUCGGGCCAUUAGAGCGGUCAGCAUGGGGACAUCGCUUUGCAUUAGUUCUGGUGGACUAUGCAACGCGAUAUCCUGAAGCAGUGCCUCUCCGCUCUAUUUCCGCUAAGAGUGUGGCGAGUGCACUGUUUCAGUUAAUCUCCCAGGUGGGGAUCCCAAAGGAGAUCCUCACCGAUCAAGGCACGGCAUUUAUGUCAUGUACUAUUCGCGAGCUUUUAGGAAUUAUUGGGCAUUAG